rnacentral:misc_RNA from 1 species
GAUGAAGAACGGCAGCGAAAUGCGAUACGUAAUGUGAAUUGCAGAAUUCAGUGAAUCAUCGAAUCUUUGAACGCAUAUUGCGCUCUCUGGUAUUCCGGAGAGCAUGCUUGUUUGAGUAUCAGUAAACACCUCAACUUCCAUAUCUUUUUUGAAAUGGGAGUUGGACUUGAGUGAUCCCAACGCUUUUCCUCACCGAAAAGUGGCGGGUUACUUGAAAUGCAGGUGCAGCUGGACUUUUCUCUGAGCUAUAAGCAUAUCUAUUUAGUCUGCCUAAAAAACAGAUUAUUACCUUUGCUGCAGCUAACAUAAAGGAGAUUAGUUCUUGUGCUGACUGAUGCAGGAUUCACAAAGACAGGCUUCGGCCGACUUUGUAAACUCGAUCUCAAAUCAAGUAAGACUACCCGCUGAACUUAAGCAUAUCAAUAAGCGAGGA